UGGCAGGAGAAAAAGAGAGCUGCGCUGCAAAACUUUGAUCCUUGAGAGACUGAAGCUUUUGAGCUGGAAAAAGUAUUAGAUAUAAGUUGCAACCAACUGUGCUGCACAUAAGUUCGCUGGUUAUCAGCUACCUUUCAUGUUAAAAGUAGCCAAAGUGAGUAAACAGGCGAAUGCUGCAGUUUUCUGGCGACUUUAGAAAGUACCACGUGGAGCUAAACUGUUAGCUUUCAUUAGCUCAAGUUGUUAUCAACUGCCUGAAAGUUCAUCUCAAUCUGCUUCCAGAGAGCCCUGCAUUUUCCGACCGAGAGACACCAUACCAUUGUCCUUGGCCGUGAUGCACUGAGAUCGUGCUGGCAGCUACGUGUUCACUCAUCACUUCAGGGUCCAGCAUAUCCACAGGGAGAG
ensembl:lncRNA